AGUGAACGCUGGCGGUAGGCCUAACACAUGCAAGUCGAACGGCAGCACAGGAGAGCUUGCUCUCUGGGUGGCGAGUGGCGGACGGGUGAGGAAUACAUCGGAAUCUACUCUGUCGUGGGGGAUAACGUAGGGAAACUUACGCUAAUACCGCAUACGACCUACGGGUGAAAGCAGGGGACCUUCGGGCCUUGCGCGAUUGAAUGAGCCAAUGUCGGAUUAGCUAGUUGGCGGGGUAAAGGCCCACCAAGGCGACGAUCCGUAGCGGGUCUGAGGGGAUGAUCAGCCACACUGGAACGGAGACACGGUCCAGACUCCUACGGGAGGCAGCAGUGGGGAAUAUUGGACAAUGGGCGCAAGCCUGAUCCAGCCAUACCGCGUGGGUGAAGAAGGCCUUCGGGUUGUAAAGCCCUUUUGUUGGGAAAGAAAUCCAGCUGGCUAAUACCCGGUUGGGAUGACGGUACCCAAAGAAUAAGCACCGGCUGACUUCGUGCCAGCCGCCGCAGUAA
rnacentral:rRNA from 1 species